rnacentral:rRNA from 1 species
GAUGAACGCUGGCGGCGUGCCUAAUACAUGCAAGUCGAGCGAACAGACGAGGAGCUUGCUCCUCUGACGUUAGCGGCGGACGGGUGAGUAACACGUGGAUAACCUACCUAUAAGACUGGGAUAACUUCGGGAAACCGGAGCUAAUACCGGAGAAUAUAUUGAACCGCAUGGUUCAAUAGUGAAAGACGGUUUUGCUGUCACUUAUAGAUGGAUCCGCGCCGCAUUAGCUAGUUGGUAAGGUAACGGCUUACCAAGGCAACUAUGCGUAGCCGACGUGAGAGGGUGAUCGGCCACACUGGAACUGAGACACGGUCCAGACUCCUACGGGAGGCCGCAGUAGGGAAUCUUCCGCAAUGGGCGAAAGCCUGACGGAGCAACGCCGCGUGAGUGAUGAAGGUCUUCGGAUCGUAAAACUCUGUUAUUAGGGAAGAACAAAUGUGUAAGUAACUAUGCACGUCUUGACGGUACCUAAUCAGAAAGCCACGGCUAACUACGUG